GGGUCAACUGGAUAGAGCACUAGACUGCGAGUCUAGGAGUCAGGAAUUCGAAUCUUCUCGAGC
rnacentral:tRNA from 1 species